rnacentral:rRNA from 2 species
UAGGAGCGAUGAAGGACGGAACUAAUACCGAUAUGCUUCGGGGAGCUAUAAGUAAGCUUUGAUCCGGAGAUUUCCGAAUGGGGGAACCCAGUACACAUCAGUGUAUUGCCUGCAAGUGAAUUCAUAGCUUGUCGGCGGCAGACGCGGGGAACUGAAACAUCUCAGUACCCGCAGGAAGAGAAAGAAAACUCGAUUCCCAUAGUAGCGGCGAGCGAAGUGGGAAGAGCCCAACACCGAGAAGCUUGCUUCUCGGGGUUGUAGGACUGGACAUUGGAGUUACCAAAGUUCGACGUAGUCGAAGUCAGCUGGAAAGCUGCGCCAUAGAAGGUGAAAGCCCUGUAAACGAAACGGCGGACCCUCCGUCCAGGAUCCUGAGUACGGCGGAACACGUGAAAUUCCGUCGGAAUCCGGGAGGACCAUCUCCCAAGGCUAAAUACUCCCUAGUGACCGAUAGUGAACCAGUACCGUGAGGGAAAGGUGAAAAGCACCCCGGAAGGGGAGUGAAACAGUUCCUGAAACCGUGUGCCUACAAUUAGUCAAAGCCCGUUAAGGGUAAU